CUUGUGGCGUAAUGGAUAGCGCGUCGGACUUCGGAUCCGAAGGUUGUGGGUUCAAGUCCCAUCGG
rnacentral:tRNA from 1 species